rnacentral:lncRNA from 1 species
AAAACCGCCACUCUUGAUGUCGUGAGUUAACAUCAUGUCUUUAGGCAUUUGCAGAUCCAAAGUAACACUCUUUAAUUAUACAAGAAUGAAACUUUUAAAAUAUAUUUCCAUGAAAUAUCCAUUAUGAUAUAAUGAGGCCACUACAAGAUGAGUUACCUCGAAGAAUGUACGACCAUCAAUAUUGAGAUAGACAACACCAAUAAGAGGUUUAUCCCCGUGCAUGACAUUUAAAACGAACACUAUAGAGAAUACAUUAUAAACAUGUAUCUUCUAAUACUACCUCUGAUUUUAUAUAUAUAUAACUAUUUAUAACUUAUUUUGAUCUCAAAUAUAAUAAAAAAAAAUUGCAUAUUUAAAAUGCAUUUAUUAUUUAUUUUACUUUUAUACUCUUAUUCCAUGUUUAAUAAACAUAAAUGCAACUUUCUCUAGAUAACUAAAUACAUGGUUUUUUUGGGAAUAACAACAGUUAAGUAAUUCGCAACCGAUGUUUGUCUGAGACUGAUUUAACAAAAUAGGGAACAGGUUACUCCUCUCUUUUCGGAAAAUUGUCUUUUGUACCCCUCAAUGAGAGAUGUUCAAUGGAAAUUUAAUUCAUUUGAAAUUUCUUGAAGAUGCGACCAUGUAUUAAAUUUAUAAAUAUUUUUUC